rnacentral:rRNA from 1 species
GGACUACUAGGGUAUCUAAUCCUGUUCGAUACCCACGCUUUCGAGCCUCAGCGUCAAUAAUAGCUUAGCAAGCUGCCUUCGCAAUCGGUGUUCUGUGACAUAUCUAUGCAUUUCACCGCUACUUGUCACAUUCCGCCUACCUCAACUAUAUUCAAGCUAAACAGUAUCAAGGGCACUGCGACAGUUGAGCUGCCGUCUUUCACCCCUGACUUAUCUAGCCGCCUACGCUCCCUUUAAACCCAAUAAAUCCGGAUAACGCUUGGAUCCUCCGUAUUACCGCGGCUGCUGGCAC